rnacentral:rRNA from 1 species
GCGGCGGACGGGUGAGUAACACGUGAGUAACCUGCCUUAGACAUUGGGAUAGCCUCGGGAAACCGGGAUUAAUACCAAAUAAAAUCAUAAUGACACAUGUCAUAACGAUCAAAACUCCGGUGGUCUAAGAUGGACUCGCGUCCCAUUAGCUAGUUGGUAGAGUAAAAGCCUACCAAGGCGACGAUGCGUAGCCGACCUGAGAGGGUGAUCGGCCACACUGGAACUGAGACACGGUCCAG